rnacentral:rRNA from 1 species
AUUGAACGCUGGCGGCAUGCCUAACACAUGCAAGUCGAACGGUAGCACGCUUUCAGCUUCCUCCGACUGGCGGCCGGUGGCGUACUACAUCGGAACGCACCCGAUCCUACUUUUUCAUGGGGCGUAACGUUUGCUAAUUUCCCCUACUACCUCAUACUACCAACGGGGGACAGCAAGGGCUUUUCCGGCCGUAGCCGACUGUGUCAGCUGAGGUCGGUGUAGCUAGUUGAGGGGGUAAAGGCUCACCAAGGCGACGAUCCGUAGCUGGUCUGAGAGGAUGAUCAGCCACACUGGAACUGAGACACGGCCCAGACUCCUACGGGAGGCAGCAGUGGGGAAUAUUGGACAAUGGGCGCAAGCCUGAUCCAGCCAUGCCGCGUGGAGGAAGAAGGCCUUCGGGUUGUAAAGUGCUUUUGUACGGAAAGAAAAGCAUUAGGUUAAUACAGGGGGGUCAUGACGGUACCGUAAGAAUAAGCACCGGCUAACUACGUG